rnacentral:rRNA from 1 species
ACUCCUACGGGAGGCAGCAGUAGGGAAUCUUCCACAAUGGGCGCAAGCCUGAUGAAGCAACACCGCGUGAGUGAAGAAGGGUUUCGGCUCGUAAAGCUCUGUUGUUAAAGAAGAACACGUAUGAGAGUAACUGUUCAUACGUUGACGGUAUUUAACCAGAAAGUCACGGCUAACUACGUGCCAGCAGCCGCGGUAAUACGUAGGUGGCAAGCGUUAUCCGGAUUUAUUGGGGCGUAAAGAGAGUGCAGGCGGUUUUCUAAGUCUGAUGUGAAAGCCUUCGGCUUAACCGGAGAAGUGCAUCGGAAACUGGAUAACUUGAGUGCAGAAGAGGGUAGUGGAACUCCAUGUGUAGCGGUGGAAUGCGUAGAUAUAUGGAAGAACACCAGUGGCGAAGGCGGCUACCUGGUCUGCAACUGACGCUGAGACUCGAAAGCAUGGGUAGCGAACAGGAUUAGAUACCCUGGUAGGAUAGCG